AACGAACGCUGGCGGCAGGCUUAACACGUGCAAGUCGAACGCCCCGCAAGGGGAGUGGCAGACGGGUGAGCAACGCGUGGGAAUCUACCCAGUUCUACGGAACAACACAGGGAAACUUGUGCUAAUACCGUAUACGCCCUAAGGGGGAAAGAUUUAUCGGAAUUGGAUGAGCCCGCGUUGGAUUAGCUAGUUGGUGGGGUAAUGGCCUACCAAGGCGACGAUCCAUAGCUGGUCUGAGAGGAUGAUCAGCCACACUGGGACUGAGACACGGCCCAGACUCCUACGGGAGGCAGCAGUGGGGAAUAUUGGACAAUGGGCGCAAGCCUGAUCCAGCCAUGCCGCGUGAGUGAUGAAGGCCUUAGGGCUGUAAAGCUCUUUCAGUAGGGACGAUAAUGACGGUACCUACAGAAGAAGCCCCGGCUAACUUCGUGCCAGCCGCCGCAGUAACAC
rnacentral:rRNA from 1 species